GAAGCUAGCUGGGAAUUGAGUACUGCUAAUUCCUCAAGAUUGUGGUUCGAAUCCACAAUAGCUUCG
rnacentral:tRNA from 1 species